UUCUUCCCACUCCCCAAAGCAAUCAAUAGUCUGAUACAGGUUGUACCAGUGCUUUCAUGUAAUAUAUAGUUUCCUUUUGCUCAUGCUAUGAUACACAUCACAAUACAACAAAAAACAAUUCAUGAAGGAAAUAAAGUGGAAGAUGGAAUGCUCUGAUCUGCAGUCAGACUCUAAUAGUUCCUCCUUUGACUGUAGAGAACAUUUUUCAUUAUAGGUACCUUGUGGAUAUCUUGGGAAUUUGCUUUGCUGAUAAGAGUAUAGCACUUCACAGAUGGUCAUUGAAUAAUAUUUCUGUUACUGUGUACAUUGUUCUCCUGGUUUUACUCACUUCACUUUGCAUCAGUUCAUCUAAAUCUUUCUAGAUUUUUCUGAACUCAUGAUGUUCUUCAUUUCUUAUGACACAAUACUAUUCCAUUACAACUAUGUGCUACAACUUGUUCCCAAAUGAUGCCCCUCAGUUUCCAAUUCUUUGCCACUACAAAAAGAGCUGCUAAAAAUAUUUUUUUAUACAGAUAGGUCUUUCUCCUUAUGUCUGAUCUCUUUGGGAUACAGAUCCAGUUGUGGUAUUGUUGGGUCAAAGAGUAUGCAUAAUUUUAUGGCCCUUUGAGCGUGAUUCCAUAUUGCUCCCUGAAAUGAAUUUAUCAGUUUACAGUUCCACCAACAGUGUGUUAGUAUACCGGUUUUUCCAUAUCUAUUCCAACACUUAGCAUUUUCUUUUUCGGUCAUGUUAGCCAAUCUGAUAGGCAUGAAGUAGUAUCUCAGAGUUGUUUUAAUUUGUAUUCUCUAGUAAAUAGUGAUUUGGAGCAUUUUUUUAUAUGAGUAUAGCUAAGGCAGAAUUUUUACUCACAUCUUCCAGAUCCCCAAGUCUAACAUUCUAUCUACUGUGACACCUAGCAGCAUCCUUUACAUUCUCCCCCCAAAUAUUCUAGCAUGGCAUCAGUCAAUUUAUUUGCAUUUAUCCAUGUCUGUUACUAUGUGCCAGAAAUUAUACUAAGGAGAAGAAGAAGAAGAAGAAGAAGAAGAAGAAGAAGAAGAAGAAGAAGAAGAAGAAGAAGAAGAAGAAGAAGAAGAAGAAGAAGAAGAAGAAGAAGAAGAAGAAGAAGAAGAAGAAGAAGAAGAAGAAGAAGAAGAAGAAGAAGAAGAAGAAAGAAAGAAAGAAAGAAAAGAAAGAAAGAAAGAAAGGAAGAAAGAAAGGAAGAAAGAAAGGAAGAAAGAAAAGUUAUAUUUCAUUUAAUUUUUUUUUCUUGGGGUCAGCUAGGUAGCAUAGUGGAUUGAGAACCAGGCCUAGAGAUGGGAGGUUCUGGGUUCAAGGUUAAAAUGUGACCUCAAACACUGCCUAGCUGUGUGAUCCUGGGUAAGUCACUUAACCCCCAUUGCCUAGUCCUUACCAUUCUUCUGCCUUGGAACCAAUACAUAGUAUUGAUUCUAAGUGGAAGGUAAGGGUUUCUAAAAAAAAUAAAAUAAAAAUAAAAUGUUUCA
rnacentral:lncRNA from 1 species